AGUGAACGCUGGCGGUAGGCCUAACACAUGCAAGUCGAACGGCAGCACAGUAAGAGCUUGCUAUUACGGGUGGCGAGUGGCGUAAGGGUGAGGAAUACAUCGGAAUCUACUUGUUCGUGGGGGAUAACGUAGGGAAACUUACUCUAAGACCACAUACGCCCUACGGGUGAAAUAAUGGGGUCUUGGUAGCUUGCGCUGUUUAAUGAGCCGAUGUCCGAUUAGCUAGGUUAAGGGGUAAAGUACCACCAGGGCGACGGGACGUAGGUGGGCUGAGAGGAUGAUCAGCUCCCCUGGAACUGAGACACGGUCCAGACUCCUCUGGGAGGCAGCAGUGGGGAAUAUAGGAUUAUGCGAGGAAGGCUGAUCCAGUCCUACCGCGUCGGUGACGAAGGCCUUCGGGUUGGAAAGCCAUUCUGUUGGGAAAGAAAAGCAGCAGGUUAAUACCGUGCUGUGAUGACGGUACCCAACGAAUAAGCACCGGCUAACUUCGUG
rnacentral:rRNA from 1 species